rnacentral:misc_RNA from 1 species
UUUUAGGUCUAUCCAGUUAUGACUUGUAACCUAGGCAGAAUUAAAAUUUCCUAAAACCAUACACAGAAUUUGCAAGAUGCCCUCAAAAUAUGUUCUAUGACUUAUGACUAAACGUAAGCUAAAAGUACAUGAGAGAGAUGUAAAGGAGAUAUUCUACAUGUUCAUAUUAUAUUUAGAUCACAUUCUCACCUUUUAGAAAAUUAAAAAUAACAAAAAAAGGUAAAAGAAGAGAGAGAAGAGUAGGGAGGUAUGUGGCUUGAGAGUGAGUAAGAAGAGAGGAGUGUGGUUUCGAUUUUCGAAAAGAGUGGCUAUAGAUUGGUGAUGAGUGUAUGUAGAUGCUUGUUUAAAGGUUAGAGGGUGUAUUUAUAGGCACUUUUAGUUAUUUAAGAAUAUUAAACCUAGCAUUUUUAGGAAGAGUUUUGACUUAAUACUCUCCUUCCUAUCUAGGUGAUUCAAUUUCCUAAAGAGCAAGAGAUUCCCUCCUAUUGUCUUUCUUAAUUUCGGCCAACAAAGAUAUUGCUGUCCAAAAUUUAUUAUUUAUUUUUUAUUUAAUUAUUCCUUUCUAUUUUCUUCCUAUUUUAGCUUGAUUUUCUCCCAAGUACAAGAACAAGUCUAGGUUCACUCUCAUGCUCACUUUCUUGACCGAAUAUGGGCCUUAACAAGGUCCUACUUGGCCUUAAUUCAACUAGCACUCCCUAGAGCUCACUCUAGUCCAGUCCAGUUUAGUGUAGCUCAAGGUUAGGUCCGACUUAUUUUAUUAUUUUCU